rnacentral:rRNA from 1 species
GCAUCUCCCUUACACCGAGAAGCCGCCCGUGCAAGUCGAGCCACCCUGACGCCCAACUGCUAGCUCAAUAGUAUCAUUAAAAUACAAAUAUUUUUAACGAUAAAUAACCUAAAAACUUUUUAACAAACCAUUUUUUACCUUAGUAAAGGCGAUAGAAAAGGACCCACGUAGCAACAGAUAAAGUACCGCAAGGGAACGCUGAAAAAGAAAUGAAAUAAAUUAAAUAAGCAUAUUAUAGCAGAGACCCACCCUCGUACCUUUUGCAUCAUGAUUUAGCAAGUAAGACCCAAGCAAAGCGACCUGUAGUUUGAGACCCCGAAACUAAGCGAGCUACUCCAAGACAGCCCAAUUGGGGCAAACCCGUCCCUGUGGCAAAAGGGUGGGGAGAGCUUUGAGUAGAGGCGAUAAACCUACCGAGCAUAGUUAUAGCUGGUUGUUUGAGAAAUGAAUAGAAGUUCAGCUCUCCGGCUUCCCAACCCCCCUUAGUACCACUAAAAUUGGCCCCAGGAAACCAGAGAAGUUAAUUAAAGGAGGUACAGCUCCUUUUUAAUAGAAACACCUU